rnacentral:sRNA from 1 species
UGCACUUCAAGCUUUAAAUGGAACGCCUC